GUUCUGCAAGCGGCCGAGUUUUCCACUCGUGUGAAAUUGGGAGCGUUAUUAAGAAGAAAAAAAAGCAUCGCCAAUCUCAUGAAUUCUCUCCACGGACGCGGCUUGAGUCGCUUUCUGACGUUUGCUUACGUUCGAAGAAUGUCUUCAUGUAGUGUUUUUGACAACAGAAGUGGGUGGGACAGCCACCACAAUAGUUUUCUUGUGCUCUUUCUCGGAAAGCAUGGUACAAUUCAGUGAGGAGACAGCUGUGUAUGAGAUAUUACUGUUGACACCGGCCUCCGAUUAUUAAGCUUUCUGUGAGCAAAUGUGAGAGAAGAAGGGGGGAAAAUAGCGUCCUUCGAAGUGUCAUAACCACUCGAGACGUAUAUUGCAGACCAUCAGUGGUGAUCGAUAUCCUAACAUUUUGUGCAAGUUACGUGACUGGGUGGAUGUUGCCCGGAAUACAAACUAGAACAGAUGAAACCUCCGUCAAUCCACCGCAAAGAAUGGGGGCUGCGUUUUCAGGGUCAACUUAUUUGGAAGUGUGACAGUUCAUGGCUGGAGGAAUGACCGAUUUAAAUUGGAGGAAAUCUAGAAAUGUUGUCCCAAAAUCAGAAUUAAGACACUUUCAUACACCAUCAAUGUUUGAGAACAGUGAAGAAAAAAUGCUCACACCAAGAACGAAAGUAAUAAAAAAAACAAGAAAAGCGUAACGAGAAGCAUAAAUUCAAAAAUCUACCCGAGUGUUGCUAAUUUGGGAUUUGUGAUUCUUCCGUAAAGGAAUGAACCCAAGAGAACUAAAAAGAGAAAGUUCGCUCCGUUCCGGCUCGCGUGAUUGAUGAAGGCGGCUUCUCGGAGCACGGAAUCAGGCUCUGGAAAAAUGAGCUCAGCGGCGCUUAAGGCUGAGGAUGCUCGUGGAGGAGUAAUGCCGCAGCAGCGCACCGGAAGAAGUAAAGGUGGAAACAGAAUGCCGCGUUGUGCGUUGCUUCUCAUCAGCUGUCAUUACUUGCGUUUUGUACUAAAACAUUCACCCAACGCAGUCUGUUGAUUUGCAGUCACAAUCUAGCAUUCGCGUCACCACUUGUCAUGUAAACAAAAACAAAAUAAAAGUCGUAUGAAAAUCUUGUUGUGUCCACGGAAUGUUGAAUGUUAUUAAAAACAACACAUUGACAUAUCCGACAUAUUGAGCUUCGUUUACUAGUUUAGGGGAGCGUGAAAGAAUAGCUGAUUUGCAGUCGCUGUUUUCAAAAUUAAAUUAUGAAUGAAAUUAGCUUUUCCAUAUCAAACUGGUAUUCUAUUUAAAUGAAAAACAUUUUUGUUUGCAGGUGCUGAAAAAGUCUCAUACGAAAAUUCUUUAUGAAGACAACUCUAUAUUAUGAUGAAAAAAUUCAGCAACAAUGUUGGAAUUGUUUAGCCAUAUGGUUGAAUGAAAGUCAGAAACACGUGUUUCAUGUAAUCAAAUAACAUGAUGUGAAAAUUUUCAUUCAAAUUUUAGAAUUUAAAAACCGGCUUCGUGUCUUCUAAUCUGAUAGAGAUUACACUAACGAGUUCGGGACCCAAAUUAUGGCCCUAAUUUGAAGUUGCCACCAGACGUCGACACCAUGCCACUGUCAUCGCGAAUUCGGCGCAAGCAGUUUAGAACAAAUGUUAGCGUUUAGUACAACGAUGCUAAUGACGCAACGCAUUAUUGUGUUCGACUAAAUGGAAACACUCAUAUUUAAAAUGAAGUGUCAAAGCACAAUUGUCGCAACGCGACGCAUAGCGCGGCAUUCUGUUUCCACCUUAAGUGUUCAAACGCGUGGGAGAAACUCAAAAAAAUCAAGGCUAUUAGCGGUGGGAGAGUUUACAGAGCGAAGUUUCGCCCAUAUAUUGAAGUAAAGUAAAACAAGCACGCAAAAAUAAUUGAGAUUCACAAUUUUUGACGUAGAACUAUGUCUUUCAUUGCGGGUGCCAAAUCAGAAAACAGGUCACGUUUUUAUGAAAUAAAGUUAAUGUUAAUAACUAUUUUUGACGCGAACGGAUUUUGGCGGUACACAUACCAAACGAAUCGGAAAUUCCCUAAGAUUUGUUUGAUAUGCUAUACGUCACAACCCCAUAGUCUGUAUAUGGUUUAAAUUGAUUAAAAUUGGAAGCAUUCCCAUUUCCUCAUACAUUUGUUCUGUCCAUUUGUGUGCUUUCCCGAACAGAGCUGUCAAUAACGAGCAACUUAUCGACGAGCAACGAAGGGGAAAUCGUAAUAUGUAAAGUCUCCGUGAACAAAGGAAAAGAAGAAGAACGAAGGGGAAUAUUUGCCUGGAGUAUAAACAAUGGAUCUCGCUGAGGCAAACUUUCAUCGAGAGAGAUCGAAUGCUUUUCUCAAGGCAAUGGGGGUGGAGGAGUAAUAUUAUGGAUACAGUAAAGUUUUCCAACGGCCUUUUCGAAGGUCAGAAACGAAUGAACUGAAGAAGUUUAAAGUCUUAAGCAAGGAAGGAAGGCAAACUUUCAGUAUCGUUCUGUAUUCAAAGCAAUGAAUAUCGCUUGUUCUUCCUUGUUUUGCGUCAUCACAUGUCCUCGUUUCGGAUUGAGCAGUGGACGCGACCAAAUUACUCACUCGCUGAUGUCUCUGGCAUUGCAAUCAUUGCAUCAAACUGACGCCAUUGCAUUAAGGUUCUGAGCUACAUAAUUGUGUGAGGAAUAAUCAAGCUAGGCUAUCGUCAGCUCAGCAAGAAAAUAAAUGUUCUGGAUUUCUUUCAGUGAUUUGGUUUCACAUAACGGUACGAAAACUCCCUCCAUAAAGCAUGACAGCUAAGCUAAUCUAGACUGGCAAUGUUAACAGAAAGGGCUUCUGUUGAGAAGAGCGCAAAACGGAGAUAAAUGUGUUAAAUAUACACACAUAUAUUGCUUCAAUCCAUCGAUAUAUGGACAUUUGUUUGACAUUUUCAUGUAAUAUUUUUUUCAGUGUAUUUUUUUUAAUUUGCUUUUGUGUUUUUCCAUGAAAGUUUUAAAAAUUUUCUUUGACCGAAAUAUAGUAGAUCCUAUAGUUUUUGAAUUAGAAAUAUUUGUAGAAAAAUAGAAAAAAAACAUCGGUUCUUUUCAAAAAGUAGUCUAUUUUUUUGGAGAUAUCAGUUUUCACUGUUCCUUGAAUGACCAAUGUCUUAACACACACAAUGUUUCAUUGCAAUUUGAGAUGGCUAGUCGUAUGGCAUGGAAUUCGUAAUAUGUAAUAUUUAAUUUAGUAAGAAAGAACAAUUCAAAAAAAAAAGAUUACGCUUUUUUUGUCAAACCUUCGGAUAGUAAAAGUUGGUCAAAUGAAAGGGCAGCUGCUGGUCAAAGAAGAAAUAUUUUCUCUAUAAUUUGUUCAGAAAUCCCGUGAACCAGCUCUUUUGAACCGUUUUUGAACAUUGGAUGUUAGCUGGAACUCAAUAUGCAGCUACCUCACAGCCAUUCAUGUCCUGGGAUUUAUAUCGUCAUAUUUUUCGUAUUUUCUGAUGGGAUUCAACCUAGAUUUCAAUCAAUACCAUAUUAAAUAGUAAUUCAUUCAGAGAAAAAAAUCCAUAACAAAAUUUUUCAAUUUCACAAACAUUCCGGUAAUGGUUAUCACGAUAACACGUAGGGGAGGUGGGGGUAAAACGGACAUGUUAAGAAGAACUUCAGUUAUAUCUUUGGAAACUCAUGUUUCCCAAAACUUUGAUGCAGUUUCUUAUAAUUUAAUAUACUGUUUUUCUACCUAAUUGGCCAAAUAUUUCACAAAAAGUGUUUUUCAAUGUUUUUUUUACUGAAAUUAAAACAUACCGAAAAGUACAACAUUUUUUUCGAUGCGGAUAUAACGGACAUGUAGGGGGGGUCAUAUGGACAGGUUUGUAAUAUAUGAAGCGUAGAGGUUUAUCGAUCGCGAGAGGAAUAAUUUUAUUCAACGUCUGAUCUCAUCACGAAUGUCCGUUAAACGAUGAAAAAAUCGAAUUAAUCCACCUACGGACACACCCUCAACUAUUUUGCUUUUGGUUCCAGUCAGCUUCUAAACAGUCCACAUUUGGCAAUUUGAUUUCCAUUUUCAGACGCAGGGCAUUCCUUAUGAAUAGAUUGAACAGAAUUUUCACAGUUCAUCCCACUCCCACUGGCAACUGUCCGUUUUACCCCACCAGUACAAUUAUUUCAAUAAUUGAAAUUUUUCCACUCAAAAUGAGUUUACUUUUCCGUACAUACCUAAUACCGCUACUCUGUUAACUCACAAACCGAAAUAUAACCAUCAACGAAAUGAAUUUUGAUAUUAAACCACUCAAAAUGCCUAAUAUCGAAGCAGCUAAAAUUACAUCCUCACGCGGAAUCAUGUAUGAUUUUCGGUUUUUGUUUCCCUUUUCCACUUUUGAUCAGUAUUCAUUGAGCAUUGAGGGUAGCUUAAAUAUUAUAGAAUAACAUGUAGAAGGUGUUCUCAUUAACAGAAAUCGGGAAUUACUACAACUAUAAAAAUCAACCAACUGUCCAUAUUACCCCCACUGUCCGUAUUACCCGUGGUUCCCCUACACGCCAAAGGCCAAACGGAAAAGAUAUGCCUAAAAGUUUUACCUAACAAAUUUACACGGAUAUGCAGAAAUUUCCGAAAAAAAGUCACGUUCUCCUAGGCAGCUGGCGUAAGGUGACCAGGUGACCAACUGGCCUGUGUGCUCCAUCAUGCUUGGAAGCAGGAAGGAAGCAGGAAGUCGACCACUGUUGGCCCCUAGUUUUCUCAUGUCGCAGCUGUCAUUAAUCGAUUCUUGUGGAAGGAGAAAAGCAACCAUAUGAACUGCACCCGAACAGGAAGCAACCCCUACCGAUGGAACGGAAGUGGAUCUUAAAGUCAGAACGAGCGAAAGGAACUGCUGAACCGAAUGGUUUUGUUUCGAAUCGAUUGGUUGGUUUGGGCGUUGUAAAAACAUUAGAAUAACGAUGAAGAACGGGUUUUGGCAUCGAGUGAAACGAGUGAAUACAUUUAUCCGGAAAUUGCUGUGAAUAGAAUAAUUUUCAUAUCGUCUGAUAGCUAUAUUUUUGUUAGAAAUGAAUCGAACCUGUUAGAGUUUUUUAUUUGAUAGCUAUAUGAUUUUUGAGAACAAAUCACUACUAUCAAAAGUAUGAAGAACCUUAACGAAUAACUAUACAAUACAAUAUUUUUAAAAGUUUUUCGAUUCGACAAACAGAAUAUGACAAAAACAUUUUGUGUACUUAGUGGAAAAUAAAAUCAUACGUACAUCUGA